UGCUCUUUGUAUGCUCAGUCGGUAGAGCAUGAGACUCUUAACCUCAAAGAUGUGGGUUUGAGCCCCACAGGGGGAG